CUUUCAGUGUGUUCUCAGGGGAGGCAGCAAGGGGCCGUGGAGCUGGCCUCAGCACUGGGAGAGGCUGGACUUCCUGUCUCUCUGUGCUGAAUGGCUGCGAUGGCGCCCGCUCUCACUGACGCAGCAGCUGAAGCACACCACAUCC
ensembl:miRNA Gm56155 predicted gene, 47315